rnacentral:rRNA from 1 species
AUUGAACGCUGGCGGCAGGCCUAACACAUGCAAGUCGAACGAGUGGCGGACGGGUGAGUAAUGUCUGGGAAACUGCCCGAUGGAGGGGGAUAACUACUGGAAACGGUAGCUAAUACCGCAUACCAUCGGAUGUGCCCAGAUGGGAUGAGCUAGUAGGUGGGGUAACGGCUCACCUAGGCGCCGAUCCCUAGCUGGUCUGCGAGGAUGACCAGCCACUCGGGAACUGAGACACGGGACAGCCUCCUACGUGGGGGAGUAGGGGGGAAUAUUGCACAAGGGGCGGAAGCCUGAGGGAGCCAUGCCGGGUGUAUGAAGAAGGCUUUCGGGUUGUAAAGUUCUUUCAGCGAGGAGGCGUUACUCGCAGAAGAAGCACCGGCUAACUCCGUGCCAGCAGCCGCGGUAAUG